CCUACGGGUGGCAGCAGUGAGGAAUAUUGGUCAAUGGGCGCGAGCCUGAACCAGCCAAGUAGCGUGAAGGAUGACUGCCCUACGGGUUGUAAACUUCUUUUAUAAAGGAAUAAAGUGAGGCACGUGUGCCUUUUUGUAUGUACUUUAUGAAUAAGGAACGGCUAACUCCGUGCCAGCAGCCGCGGUAAUACGGAGGAUCCGAGCGUUAUCCGGAUUUAUUGGGUUUAAAGGAAGCGUAGGUGGGUUGUUAAGUCAGUUGUGAAAGUUUGCGGCUUAACCGUAAAAUUGCAAUUGAUACUGGCAGACUAGAGUACAGUUGAGGUAGGCGGAAUUCGAGGUGUAGCGGUGAAAUGCUUAGAUAUAACGAAGAACUCCGAUUGCGAAGGCAGCCUACUAAACUGCCACUGACAUUGAUGCUCGAAAGUGUGGGUAUCAAACAGGAUUAGAUACCCGAGUAGUC
rnacentral:rRNA from 1 species